AUUUUUUUGUUAUGAACUUUGAGCCUGUUCGUGACAAGUGGGGGCUCGUCCGGGAUCAUAAGGUUGAUGUUGAGUGGAGAAGCCUGAAGCAAGAGCCAAGAGAGGACAACUUAGAUGGUAGCAGAUGUAUGCAGAUGCUGGGGAGAACUACAAGGCUACUUUGGACUAUUGCCAAAGUGCAGUGAGCUUUCCAGUGCCCCAAUGGCUGCCAGCAAUCACCCAGGAGGUUGGUGUAACCUUAAUUGGGGAGGACGUGCACGUGGUAAUGGCUGGAGCGGACUGGGUGGAACUGUAUCAACAACAUCAAACACAUGGUUUCCAUAUGUUUGAUGCGAUUCCAUUUACACCGUUCCAGCCUUCCUCCCCUUGGCAGUCUCCCCUUGGCAGUCUCCCCUUGGCUGAUCCUGUCCCUGACCAAAACUCCAGAGGUUUUCAACUGGGUGUGAUUGACCGUGACGCUCCCUCGAUCCUCACAAAGACAAUCACACGAUUUCCCAUGAUUUAAAUAUUUGUCUAUUUAAAUUAUUAGCUUAUUUAUUUAGAUUGACUGCACACUGCAAUUCAGCUCUUAGCUGCCAAUUUGUACACCUUAACAAACAAUAAAAGAA